AUUAUCCAGACUGCUGUUUCAGAACUGAUAAGGCAUUUAUUGCCACAGUAUUAAAUUACAACAAGCAUAAACUGUGUUUUUGGGGGAAAUGUAGGACCUGCUUUACCUAAAGGGGAGAGGAGAAAAACGUAGUCCUGGAGUGUGCUCUAUACUGAGUUAAUGGAGAACCAUGCCCAUUGUCAACUGAAAACUGUGAAAACUGUGACAACUGAAAUCUGCCAACUGAAAACUGAAAACUGUGUUGACAAAACUAAUAGUGAAGGAAAGUAGAAUGAAAUCCCAAGCCUUAUGUGAAGAACUGUGGUAGUGUGAUGAAAACUACACCUUUGAAGCCAUGGAAGAAGCAGCACUCCUGAGCAAGAAUGUAGUACCUGCCAACUUUUCUGCGAAGGGAAGCAGAUGCCUCUUCAUUUCAGCAUAUCAUCUUAACGCAUCAGACAUUGCAAGACAAAGUCACCACCUAACUUUCAGUGCCACUAAAACAUUGAACACCUAAGGAAAAACAGCAUGCUUUUUACAAAGUAUUUCCACUUUAAUCCAAAUGGCUGCAAACUCUGAGAUCUACCUGGUUGGGAGAUGGGAACAUUGUGGGGGAAUAAUCAAGAAGUCAUCGGAGAGCUUUUCAAACAAUGUGUGGGGUUAGUUGGAAACAUUAAUGUGUCAACUGCCAAAAUAAAAAAUGCUUUGGUGGCA